rnacentral:rRNA from 1 species
AUUGAACGCUGGCGGCAUGCCUUACACAUGCAAGUCGAACGGCAUCGCGGGAAAGCUUGCUUUCCUGGCGGCGAGUGGCGAACGGGUGAGUAACACAUCGGAACGUACCGGCUAGUGGGGGAUAACCCGUCGAAAGACGGGCUAAUACCGCAUACGCUCUUCGGAGGAAAGCAGGGGACCUUUGGGCCUUGCGCUAGUCGAGCGGCCGAUGUCCGAUUAGCUAGUUGGUGGGGUAAAGGCCUACCAAGGCGACGAUCGGUAGCGGGUCUGAGAGGACGAUCGGCCACACUGGGACUGAGACACGGCCCAGACUCCUACGGGAGGCAGCAGUGGGGAAUCUUGGACAAUGGGGGCAACCCUGAUCCAGCAAUGCCGCGUGGGUGAAGAAGGCCUUCGGGUUGUAAAGCCCUUUCGGCAGGGAAGAAAUCGGCGGGGCGAAUAACCCUGCUGGAUGACGGUACCUGCAGAAGAAGCACCGGCUAACUACGUG